UCCCACCAUUACUGUUGGGGAGUCUAAGUCUCUUUGUAGGUCUCUAAGAACUUGCUUAUGAAUCUGGGUGCACCUGUAUUGGGUGCAUAUAGACUUAGAAUAGUUAGCUCUUAAUACCUGGCCUCUUUCCCAAAAGCCCUUGAAGCAGCAUACCAAGAUAAGAUAUACACAGCGAUGCUAAUAACAUAUCAACAGCAAGGGAAGAAAAACAAAGGCUUAACAUACAUUAUUGCAUGUAAAAUUUGACUCUGGAACUUGCUGGAAAUUAAGGCUAAGAGAAGGGAAAGAAGUUACGCACUGCCCUAUCAGUAGGGCAAAAGCAUAACCGUUGCUUAGGGGAGAGCCUUUCCUGAUGCCUUCUGCUAUAGAUGUUCUCAUUGAGGGUCCUGUGAAGUGCUAAAAUGAACAGAAUUCUUGAUUUUCACACAUUUACAUGUUAUGAUUGUGCCUUGCAUCCUUACCUUGUACCAGCUUUCAAAGGCUUCCAUUUCAGGGUUUGGGGGAUUUGUGUAGGUGUGGUUAAUAAAGGAUUUUGUUUCCAUAAGUAAGAAUUCUUAUUCUAAGCUGCAAAUAAGUAUUAAGCUUGAAAAUAAUUUGAGACAAAUGCCUUGAGACACGGAGAACCUUUGCCGAAUUCUGUAAUUUGUAAGAUAGAAAGUGAAUGUGCUAUCCCUGGAUUAGCAUAUGUAUAUUGCAGUAAAUGUGGUCUUCUUCACAGUGGAAUUUAGUGUGGAGAGAUGCGCAGCUCCAUUUCUGUGAGGAUGUGUGUGGAACCCCAUUAGACUCCUACUUUGUCGGGGCUCCACAGAGACCAGAGGUUUGUCAUAAGGGACCUAACCUCCAUGGCUCCUGAGGUCAGCUGCUCCCCUAAAAGGCAAUUGCUUGGCCUUUAUUUCAGAAGGUUUACAAAGUGACCUAAGGAUGUACUCGGAGCUGUUUGGUUUCCACAGAAUUCAACUGUGUGUGUGUGUGUGUGUGUGUGUGUGUGUGUGUGUACACACCUUCCUUGUUACUAUUUUAACAGACUUUUGGCUCACUGUAAGAGUUAGAAUUUAUGUGAAGUGUGUGGUAAAAGAACACAUACAUUAUUCCAAGAGCAGCCACUACUCACACCACAUUGAACACUUAACGUUACCACAGGUUAUAGCUCACUCUUUGGGACCACAUUCUUUGUCUAUGGUCAAGGCUUUAUAGUAUUUUUCUGCCUUAUUAUCUCUAAGGAACUGAAGUAUUUCUCCCUAAAAAUGCUAUGGUAAAAUCUGAUUUUUGGGUUAAACUGGCUUUAGUAAUAUCCUCACUAAAAGUUAACAAAAGAAAUCCAGCUCCACUGAGUUUGUGUAAAAGGGCUGAGUCAGCUAAGAAUGUUGCUCUGAGCAUUACCAGUAAGGUUGGAGGUAUCUAAUCAUCAGUGUGCUGGUGCUUCUGUUGAAUGCUGGCAGAUUGCAGCCUCUUGUUUAAGCAUUGAGUUUUUCAAAGAAAAAAACUGGCUGCCACUCUUGCAGUGGCUUUCUUGAGUGGCUAAGCUUUCUAGGUUAUUUAGCAGAUGAAAUAGAAACAUGGAAACACUGUGGUUGGAAGCCACAUGGUGCGCAUGCUCCUGCUUGUUAACUAACAGUGAGUGGUGUUGAUGUGUGGGCAUUCAGUCGUCUUCUGCAUUGGCAGUGCCAAUGUGUAAUCAGUUGUCUCACCACAAUUGGGGGUUUUAGGAAACUCAGAAAUAUCAGCCUUAGUUCUCAGAGUUCUUGAAAUCAGUAUCUUAGUCUUAAGAAUUGUUCCUUGUGUUUCUUGGCAACAAACAGUAUUUUCAGCCCAACCCCACCCACAGUUUACAUUUGCCCUUUUCUCCUGCAUCUCACAGCAUAGCCAUACAAGCAGCACCCGACAGAAAGCACAUUCAGGCGCCAUCUGACAACGGGAAGCAGGACUCGGGCAUUUCAUUCCCCAUUUGCUCCUGGUGUCCCAUCCUCAGUUCUGCCUUGCUUACCUUCUUUGCGCCAGCACUUUUCUUUGAGGCUGUAUUGCAAAGGACCUUGCCUAAAGACAAACUGUUUUACCCUUGCACUUUGAAUUCCUCCAGUACCUAGUACUAACUAAUGAGGAGAAUGCUUAUGAGCUCAUUUUGUGGGCCAGCGCUGGGUUCUCCUCCAUAGGUAGUUGGGGACAGGGAGCACUAUCUCAUUUUCAUUUGAAGAAACCAAGACUUAGGUCAAGAACUUGUCUUUGUAUGGCAUGACACUUAGUGAUGGAUGGGGAGUUCUAAUUUGCGGUUUGCAUUUAACUUGCUUAAAAGUUGGUGCUCAUUUUUCUGUGUCACAGUGCAUCUCAGAAAGAAACUUCUUAGGGAAUGUGUGUGUUACUGAUGACAGCUGGGCUCUUACUGUUUUAGCAGCAGUGUGAACAGAUGAAGCAGACAUGAAGGGGGAAAUGGCAAUGUGUACUAUGUGACAGGCACUAUGCUAAGCAUGUCAUCCUCACUGAGCAUUUAUGAAGGUUUUCUAUUUUAAAAAUGAGCCACCUGAGCCAUGAAGAAGUUAAGUGACUUGACCACAGUCACAAUCCAUGUGGUAGCACCAGGAUUUCAGUCCAGAUCUGACUCAGAACUCAUGCUCUUAACCACCAUGUGAUUUGAAGCUAGAUAACAAGGAAAUACAUUUAAAUACGUAAGGAAUACAUAUAUGUGUGUGUGUGUGUAUAUAUAUAUAUAUGUAUAUAUACACACACCACACAUACAGGUAAUAUAUACUACUACUAAAGACAUCAGAUCAGUGCUAACUCCUGCAGUAUAGAUGUCCCAGGUUGAAUAAAAUAGUUUCCUAAAAUCCCUACAUUUGUAACAAUGACAAAGGACGGGCAGAUGGCUGCAGGAUGUAUGAGGUUCACCUCAUGUAUGCAAGAGGUGCAUAUCUCAGGUAUGAGGUUCACCUCAUACGUGAGGUGAAGCUUAUGUAUACCUCAGCUAUUAGGGCAAGAAGUAUACAUUUUAGUACUUGUACUAAAACUAACAAAUUCUUGAUAUGAAAAAUAAAAGCAUUAUUGGUGAUUUAGGUGUUACAAUUGCUUUUCCUAACAAAAUGCCAGAACAGGUUGAUUCUUUAACUUGAAAUUGUUUCAUGGGAAUUCUGUUAGGUGAUUGGGGAAUUUGUGAUCCCUCUGUCUGAAAAUAUUAACCAAAAAAUAGAAGGGAACUUUCCAAGGUGCAAAAUAGUGUUUAAGAGUUUAGAGCCAGAAUCAUCCCUGGCUUUCUUUUCUACUAGUAUGGUGACCUCAGCAAAUUACUUAAUCUUUCUGCCUCAGUUUCCUUAGAUGUAAAGUGAGGAUAAUAAUCGUACCUUUGGCAAAGCAGUGUUGUGAUGACUGAGUAAAUGUAAAGCACUUAGAGUCUGGCACAGCAAGUGCUAGGAAAGCGUUGGCCACCACGGUGUGGUCUUCCUUGUUGCAGUUAUUUCAAAGGUGGUAAGUCUUUUAAAUUGCGAAUGCCCUCAAAUGUCAUAAAUCAUUGUACAAAACUCUUCAGAAGCCACCACUUAAGAAUCCCAUUGAAAUAUCUGGCAGGCAGGCACUUGUGCAUCCAAAGAGAAGAGGGUGUUGAAGGACUCACACUUGACAAAUGCCUGCUGUAUACAAGGUGCUUUGCCCACAGGAUGUUAUACACCUUAACAAGUCCUCCUGAGGGAAGGAAGCAGGAUGAAGCCCCGUGUCACACCCCUGAGAGUGGUAGUCUGUGCUCGCCCAGUACCUGCACAGUCUCCCAGGUACUGGGGUGCUGGCAAGUGAGGGAUGUGCUUCUAGGAACCUUGCCCUAUUCAGUGUGAAACCAGCAUUUUGGUGCCCUACACUUGACUUGGCACAUUCAAAUCUGAUCUAGUUUGCUCAUGGAUGGCAGCAGCCCUCGUACCCCCACUCUAAGGGCCCCCUGAGUGUGCACAUGCGUUGAUACGAAGGAGAGGGAUGUGGAAAGGCAGCCCCAGCCUUCAGCUGCAGUAUCAUGCAGAUGCUGGGGACGUUGAGAGCUGAAAGGCAAUCUUAAAUUAUGCAAAUGCAAUACUGCUUUUAUAAAAGCAUCUGAGGCAAAAGGCUCCCUCCAAAAAAAAAAAAAAAAAAACUGUGUGAGCUGGGACUGCCAGUAUGGCUAACAAAGUGGGGACGAAAUUCUGCAAAAUAAAACUAGUCUCAGGCUAACCAGAGAUGCUGACAAACCUGAGAUUCCAGGCAGAUCUAAAUUAGAAAUCGGCCAAGGGAAAACACAGUGAUGAGUCCCCCUUAGGGAUUCCAGUGAGAAUUCUUUAAAUUCAUGGCCCUGAUGGAGUAGCAGUAGGAGAGGCAAGCCCUGGAGAUGCAUAUGGCCUCAGUGGCUCACCCACCCUCAACCCUAGGUGAAUCCUUUGCUUUGCCGUCUUCCUCCCCUGGACUCUCUGGACCUGCUGCUUGCCCUGUAAACCUGGAUUAUCUCCACUCCCUACUCCUGAAUGGGGCCCUCGGCAAGAGAGGCCUGUGGCUAUGCUGAUGUGAAUGUGGCUGGGCUGGGCUGGUGUCUGCAGGACAAAACAAGGGCUGGUUCUGACUUUGGUUUGAAGGUGAUUUUCCCACAGAUCCCCCUUGGCACGAUGCUUUUGCCUCAUUUGUCUCUGCCUUUGGCUCUAAAUCUUAGUCUUAAUUAGAUUGUGUUUACAUUUGCACCAUAUAUGUGGUCUGGCACUUGAAGAUUGGAUAAAGAGUUACACAAAUAUUUAGACUCAGGGUGUUCCAGUGGAAGGGGAGAGGCUGGAGACCAGCCACUCCAAUGCCCUCAUUUACCUUUGUUCUUGUGUCCGUCUUGUGAAGCAGGGACCCUGCAGGUGGGAAAAAGAGAUGGCAAGAAGACAGCCAAUAUCACAAUUUCCCUCCCAAGACAGGGAUGAAAAACCACCAAGAGGGCUUUUGUGAAAAUCUGGAAAGAUGAGAAAAGCCCACUUUAGUCAUUGGCUCUCAUUUCAUCUAUUGUUAACCUGGAGGAGUGGUGAGCCCACUGUUCCUGCCAAGCUCUUUCAGUAGCCAGCCAGAUGAGGACCGUUAACAGAAGUGCUUCUGGGCAAGUGCCACAGGGACUGCUUUGAUACCAGGAUGACCUCAGGCGAGGCUCCAGUCCUUUCUCGAAUGGCCUCUCAGGCCUGAGGAGGCGCAGGUGAGAAAAUGUGCAUGAGCUCUCUAUACACAGUGAAGUUCAUCCAAAUGGAGCAGGAUGGCUUGUCUGGUCUGCUGCACCUCCCCUUCCCCACCCCCAUAAAUAACAGCAGCCCUUCCAGCUCUCCUUUUGAUACUGUGCUCAGUGAUGGGGGCCUUGCAGUGGGCAGCCAGAGCCAGCAUAGCCAAGCUUUGUUGGUUCCCUUCCCUCUGAAGGUGAACAGGACAGCAUUUGUUCUCUUUGGUGUGUUGCUUUUAGACAAAUUCAAAAGCUGCCGGGUUUUAGAGCGUGUUUGUCACUGCCAUCGUAGUUCUCUUGUUCAGGCAGCAGUGAGAAUCUGCUCAGCACUCGUGAGCACUGAAUGCUGAACUGCCUGAGAAGGCUUUCCUGCCCUACAGUGACACGGGCUCAGCACCUUCUUCAGGCUCCGGGAAGCUCAUAUACUGCUGAGGAGCAACAACUCAUGGCCAUUGCAGCACUAUGGAAAACCCGCAGCUCCUACCAUCAUUUGACUACAUGCCACUCAGGUAAUUUUGCUUUUGGAAAAGUUCUGUGAAUGUGUUUGUAACUUUGAAUGUCUUAGUCUCUCCAAUACACCAGGAUUCACUGUGUCUUCCCACUGAUUAGCUGCUAACAUCACACUACAGUCAAAUAAUCAUCAUGUUGGCUGCAGUCUGGUGUUGGUUUUGGUGAUGUUUGCUGUCCGUGAGCAUUAACGUGGUGUUCAAAACUCACCCAUCUAUCAAAAGCAUCUUUUCAAAUACAUUUUGUUAGUGUUCUAGAUAUGAAUAUGCUUUUGGAAAAAAGUAGGUCCUCAUAAGGGAGAAAUGAAUAGGUUCUCUGGGAUUAGCUCAGUGGGAAUGGGGUUGGAAAGGGCUUUUGAAGGUUUUAAGUUGCAUUUCUUUGGUGUCCACAUGUGGUUUCAUGGACCUGGUCUAAUCCUGGAUUUCAUAUCCCCUUCACUCCUGGUCCCUACUCCUCAGCCCUUGUUCCUCAGCCUCCUGCACUGGGUAUGCCAGCUCCCCAGCCCCGUGCACUGAUGCUUGCUGUGGUCACCAGUGUUCUCCCAAAUGGCUGCCACAAGGACCACAGUCUUCAGCCAGCAUCAUCUCUGUAGCAAGGCGCUGUUCCCUACUCGGGAGUUGGCUGCCCUCUGCGGCUCCCCUCCCCAGCACCCCAAAGGCUGGGUGUACCAAGCUGCAAAUCAGACCAGGACACGUUACCAGUGAAAGUGUUUAAUAGUUAAAUUAUUUAAAUAGACUUCAAUUUCCAUGGGAAAUCAUAAUCGUAUCCGUUUUUGCAAGAGUAGGAAUAAAAAGAGUGCACACCCCUUAGAGGGAACGAAGAGCUAGCACUGCACCUGCACGCGGUCACCAGUCACUGCUAGGAUGGGAGAGGGGCCUCCGUGGGGCCAGGAGGCUGUGACCAUGGGGGAACAUGGGAUGAACUCAGCACACACACUUUACUCGGGUUGGAAGCAGAACGAAAACCCACCACCACUGGCAGGCGCUGUGGAGGGGCAGGGAACUUGAGAACAACAGCUGGGAGAAGGCGGGCCUCCUGCGGCCCACGGCAUGAUGGCAAUGUAGAAGCACGGGACAGACUCAGGCUUGGCAGUUUUGGGUCCACACACUUUGCUUCUCAGAGCUGUGUUUGAAUUGUGGUGGGAUUGGUGUGCAGGGAAGGGAGGGUGUUGAUCGAGCCCAGUGAGAGGUGGUGCAGGUGGACAUCAAAGUAACAUUUUGGCAGCUAGCACAGCUGCUGCCUUACUGCCUUCAAGCUCAUGUUGGAGGGAGGAUAAUUCUAACCUGAGAAGCAAUGGAGAGAUUUGGGCAUGGGCCCUAAGGAUUCUGUUUGAAUUCUGUGAUACAGUAUCAUUUUCCAUAUGCUUUCCUCAUAGCUUAUAAAAAUAGUAUUUUUUUCUUGGUAUGUUUAACUGCCCCAUCCCGAUAAAAGAAAAUUUCUGCUAGCUUUCCCUGUGGACUCUGAAGCUGGGCUCUACCCAUUCCUCUGCCUGGUUUGCCGGUGGAGGUCAAGGCUACUCCCUUUCCCCAAACCUGAGGGCUCGCUGCACAUUGCAUCCCUGGACUGAGUGAUCAUCUCCAGGAAGAGCCACCUGUACCUUGGCCAACUGAGCAGGCCAGGCAGGCUUGGUUUCCUUGCCCCAGCCUGCAGAGCACCCGGGAGUUUGCAGGACCUGCCUCUGCAGGCAACAAAUGUCUGAAAUCUCAGGGUGUGGAGGGUGCCAUGCUACCUGCUGCAGAAUGAGGUUGCUUCCCUUGGUUCCAGCUUGGCCUGGAAUGGGAAAACAGUUUUUUUCUUAUUUCAUCUGCAUUUUUCUUAGGGGAAGCAGGGUGUGUGCAUGUGUGUACACACGUGUGUGUGGCAGAGAAAGAUGGGUCAAUGUGUCCGUGCAUCCUCCUCCUCAAUCUGGGCAUAUGGCACCCCGAAAGCACACACCCACUGCUCUGGUGGUACCUGGGAAAACCAAAACUGCCAAAUCUGAAAUAAGGGAAACGCAUCCUGCGUAAGACCAGUUCCACAGCAUGAACAUACACACAUAUACACUAGUACAUACAGCAACAUACACACAGUACAAAUGAGCACACACGCCCUGCUGUGCACAGCUGUUUUCUAAUUUACAAAAUAUAGAAUUUGGCAUAUCUGUGAGAUCUCCAAGGCUUUCAAUAAUACAAAAUAAAAAAUACAAAAAAGACAAGUGGGGAUCCCUGCCCUCCCCCCGAGUGGCGUCCUCAUUUGCUUGUGUGUCUUACACGCAUACAACUAGCAUAGUCUAAAGAAGGGCACGGAGAACUAGUUUUGUUUUGUUUAAUAAAUAUUUUUUCUCAGAAUCACCA